AUUGAACGCUGGCGGCAUGCCUUACACAUGCAAGUCGAACGGCAGCGGGGACUUCGGUCCGCCGGCGAGUGGCGAACGGGUGAGUAAUGUAUCGGAACGUACCAUUCAGUGGGGGAUAACUAUCCGAAAGGAUAGCUAAUACCGCAUAUUCUGUGAGCAGGAAAGCAGGGGAUCGCAAGACCGUGCGCUUAUCGAGCGGCCGAUAUCAGAUUAGCUAGUUGGUGAGGUAACGGCUCACCAAGGCUACGAUCUGUAGCGGGUCUGAGAGGAUGAUCCGCCACACUGGGACUGAGACACGGCCCAGACUCCUACGGGAGGCAGCAGUGGGGAAUUUUGGACAAUGGGCGCAAGCCUGAUCCAGCCAUGCCGCGUGAGUGAAGAAGGCCUUCGGGUUGUAAAGCUCUUUCGGCCGGGAAGAAAUCGCAUCAGCUAAUACCUGGUGUGGAUGACGGUACCGGAAUAAGAAGCACCGGCUAACUACGUGCCAGCCGCCGCGGUAAGAC
rnacentral:rRNA from 1 species